UACGGAGGAUGCGAGCGUUAUCCGGAUUUAUUGGGUUUAAAGGGUGCGCAGGCGGCGCGGCAAGUCUGAUGUGAAAAUCCGGGGCCCAACCCCGGAACUGCAUUGGAAACUGUAUAUCUAGAGUGUCGGAGAGGCAAGUGGAAUUCCUGGUGUAGCGGUGAAAUGCGUAGAUAUCAGGAGGAACACCAGUGGCGAAGGCGGCUUGCUGGACGAUGACUGACGUUGAGGCUCGAAAGCGUGGGGAGCAAACAGG
rnacentral:rRNA from 1 species